rnacentral:rRNA from 1 species
AUACGGAGGAUCCAAGCGUUAUCCGGAAUCAUUGGGUUUAAAGGGUCCGUAGGUGGAUAAUUAAGUCAGAGGUGAAAUCCUGAAGCUCAACUGUAGAAUUGCCUUUGAUACUGGUUAUCUUGAGUUAUGAUGAAGUAGUUAGAAUAUGUAGUGUAGCGGUGAAAUGCAUAGAUAUUACAUAGGAUACCGAUUGCGAAGGCAGAUUACUAAUAAUAUACUGACACUGAGGGACGAAAGCGUGGGGAGCGAACAGAAUUAGAAACCCUAGUAGUCC